UUGUAAGCUAGGGAUCCCUUCAAUUAGGGAAUUUCCAUUCCACGCAUGGUGGACAGAUGUAAUUAUAUUUUUCUGUUCUAUUGAAAAGAAAAUUUUUCGAAAUGAAAAAUAUUAUUGAUAGGAUGAUUAACUCAUUGCUGGCAAGAACCUGUAGGAUACCCCCUACCUAUAAAAUGUUAACCUUUUGCUUUACAUUUCUGGCAUAAUUACAUGUUUGGGUCAAUAUGUAUCCAAAGUGUUGUAGAAAUCGUUUGGGCUCCUUAAUUUCCAUCACAUUCUUCACAUUUUGUUAUAUUUGUUUCUUUUCGCAUGUUCUUUUCAUUUUAUGUCUCUAGUGUCUCCAGUGUGGUUCUUCCCUUAGAGUUUCAUACAUUUCUUUUUUCUUUUGAUAUUAAGUAUCUUUCAAAUUUUUCCUCAUCUAAUGUACAGAACAAGGAGUAGUGGUGUUACUUCUAUCAGCUCAAGUGCAACUAGCAAGGCAAGAGAUACCAGACGUCAGAGGAAGAGAGGAAAAAUUCGUCCUGGAAGUGCUGGUGAGGAGAUGGCUCUGGUAGAGCAUUUGAAGGGUAUGUCUCCAACAGAUGGAGCAAAACUUGAGCUAAAAUCUCUGUUGCUUUCCCUUGUGAUGCUUGGGGAGGUAGAAAUUGCAAGGAAGCUACAACGUGCUGGAGAGAACUUUCAAUUGUCUCAACUGGCAGCAGUAAGGCUAGCUGAAGAUACAAUGUCUAAUGAUAGAAUGGAUGACCAGAUACAUACUUUGGAGCAUUAUACACAGAAAAUGAGAAUUGAAGUGCAGAAUUCUGAAGCUUUCUUUUGGCGGUGUAAAGUGUUCCCCUUUUAAGAAGAUUUGGCCCGAAUGUGUAUGGAAGUAUGAAUAACCAAGAAGAAGAAGAACAAUGUAGAUGAAGAAGAAGAAGAACGAGAACAGAGAAGAAGAAAAAGAAAAAGUCUUUUCUGGCAGAUCAAAAAAGAGGAAUAUGGGCAGAUCUAAUAAAAAAAAAAAUAAACUGAAACAUGAAGAAGAAGAAGAAGCAGACAAACAAUGAGAAGAGAAAGAAGAAGGCAAACUCACAUAUUCAGAGCUUGAUCUGGGCAGAGGCACGCUUGAUCUGGGCAGAGGCACUCGAGAGACACCAGCAACGCCUUCGAUCAGCUCCGGACAGAAAUUUGACCCAGGGGGAAGGACGGGUCAGCUUAAUCCUCCUCUCGGGGGAUUAUUUUACUGUAGCGGCUAACUUAUCCGCUUCUUCGUUUGUUCCUUUCAAACACCGGAUUGGGACACAAUCCUGUCCAAUCCGGUGAAACAAACA